CUGAUUCGGCGGAGGGAGGCCCCUCUUCUGGUCAGCCGGUUGUCUACUUGAGAGGUCCCUCGCGUCUCCCGAAGCGAGGGAUGCCUAAUGAGAGACUUCCGGUGAUUCGUCCAAGUGGCGAAAGUUACCAUACUCGCCAGCCCAAUGGCAUUCUGGGGAUUUUGUGCAGGCGUCACUUUCCCGGCAUUGUUCAACAUGCCGAAAAAAUGGAGCCAGCCUACACGUUUGCGCACUACACCUCCGCCCGCGACACAGAGGAUCGCAGGGGCAGGGUCUUUGACAACAAGGCAGUGUGAGUGUGCACGGAGCUAUGGGAUUUCUUCAGAUGUGACCAUGGAUAUGAGGAUGGGGCUCCCCAAGUGGCUUACAAUGCAUGCCACAAGCUCGUACUGGACAUGCACUACGAGUGUCGUGUCCAGUCCAUCGUGACAUACAACGCCCAGUACCUUUCUCGAAAGGUGACCAAAACUGUGGCUAGAACCAUGAUGCUGACCAAGGAAGAAUUCAUGAAGGUUCCUCCGUAGUGGUGCAAUGCGAACGUCCGUUGCUGGGAGCUAAUUGUGGACAGGUGGUUCACUCCUGAGUGGACACAGUCGCACAGUGCUGGUAGGGAGCGGCGCGCCUUGAUGCAAGGUCCAGCACACCAUCAAGGCAGUCUUAGCCUUGAUGGAUACAGAGCUAGAUGGUCACAGGCACAUGAUGGUCAGGAAGUCUCCACCUUCCAAGCGUACGCGAUGGGGCACCAGGACAAGUACAAGACAGCCGUUCCCUACAACCCACAUGCUCCGGCCUCGUCGUACAGCAACCCCUCCGUCCAUACACGCCUCACUCAGUAUAUAGAGACGGCAAAGGAGGUAUAUGGGCCGGACUACGAUCCCGCGGCCCAUGACAUUGAUGGAGAAGUCGUCAUGAGGGCGGGAGGAGGGAAGGUUCGUGGCCGGUACAUGAUUGGCGACGGCAGCUUGGAUUCUAGAACUGUUCCCAGCCUAGCCCAGAUCCGAGCAACGACCACAAGCUCGAGCGCGCCCAUACGCCAACGGCCGAACAGCACGAUGAGCAUUGUGGCAUCUCUCCAGAGAGGCUAAGGGAGGAACAAAGACUUAGGCAGGAGGCAGAACAGGAGGCUGUUCAACAGAGGAUGAGCGCGAUGUUCCAGUACAUGCAAAGUAUUGGAGCAGCUGUAGGUCAACCUCCUCCACCUGAGUUAUUCCAACCUAUACAACCUGCUGUCAACACUCCUAAUCAAUCGGCGGCGUCAAACGAUCCACCUCCUAGGCUACAAGGAGGAUCGGAGUGGGACGCAUGGAGUUUGCCGAGGUAGGUGGAGUGUGAUUCAUGAUGUGGGACGCAUAGAGUGAGACUUGUAAUGGUUAUGGACAUUAUGUGAUGCUUGUGGGUUUAUAUGUGUUGCUCAUGGAGUUUAUUUGUUGGUUGUGGCCUACAUGAGAUGGACAUGGAGUUUAUGUGAUGGAUUUGUCGUAUUUA